AGACAUCCAUGGCAAUAGGAUCUCAAAUUUCAUCAAAAAAAUUUAAGUCCAAAUCCAGAUAUUUGAUGGCAACUCGGGCUCGAAUAGAUUGCCUUCUAGCAUCAUAAGCAUCGAUGGAGAAUUCAGUCUUUUCUUCCUCAUAUUUUUUAGAGAUCCGAAAGUCCUCCAUAGCUUGAGAAGCAACCUCGACUGUUCGCUUCUCUUUAGCCCCC
rnacentral:lncRNA from 1 species